UCAGCUAAAGACUUCUUGAAAUGGCAUGAUAAAAGCAGAAAUGAACUCCAUUCAGGAUAUGUGUUUUGAUUCCUCAGAAAGGUUGAGAAGAAGAAAAGGCUGGAAAAAAAGAAAUAUAUCUUUGCUGAUGGAUUAAUGAGUGUGAAGUGAGCCAUCCUACUGAUGUAUACAAAGUCUGCUUGUAGCGACAAGGGGUUGAAUUCCUGGCUAUUCCUGGAACAACUCACCAUUGCCUGGAUAUACCAGAAUUGACUGGCAUCCCUGGUACAGAGCCCAUCUUUCAAAGACAAUUGUACACCCAGAUCAACACUGUCAGUUUGGAGCUGACCUACAUAAUUCCUGACUUUGAGAGCAGGGACCUGCAGAUCCUGCUGGACAAGGAGGUGCGUAAGCAGGAUCUUUCCCCAGGACCAGCUGAGGAGGUCACAUCAACAGAUCACAUCAGCCUGGCCCAAGAUUGGCACGGCUCAAUGCAAUCUCAACCGUCUCGUACUGUAGGAAGAAGGUCAAUUAACUUCUCUUUGCCAGUUAAUAUAUGCCCACAACUGUAUUGCCAAAUUCCACAUGAACGCCAUCUACAAGUUUGCUGCCGACACCAUUGUGGUAGGUUGGAUAUCAAACAAAGAUGAAUCAGAAUACAGAGAGGAGAUAGCGUGCUUGUAUCAUGUUGCAACGAUAACGAUCUUUCUCUCUAUGUCAGCAAAACAAAAUAACUGAUCAUUGACUUCAGGAAGAAAGGAGGAGGACAUGCUUCUAUCUGCAUGAACAGAAUUGAGGUGAAGAAGAUCGAGAGCAGCAAUUCCUAGGAGUGACAAUAACCAACAAUCUGUCCUCGACCUCCCAUGUCAAGAAGUCACAACAAUGCCUCUUCUUCCUCAGGUGGCUUAGGAAAUUUGGCAUGUUCAUAAGGACCCCAACCAACUUUUACAGAUGCACCAUCAAAAGCAUAAUAUCCAAGGACAUAACAGCUUUUUCUGGCAAAUGCUGUGCCUAGGAUCGUAAGAAAAUACGGAAGAUUGUGCGCACAACCCAGACCAUCACAGAAAUCAAUGUCUCAAGCAUGGAUACCAUUUACACUUUUUGUUGCAAUGGGAAAGCUGUCAACAUCAUCAAAGACCCCUCCCACCUUUCAGCUCUUUUCCAACCUCUUCCAUCGGGCAGAAGGUACAGAAGCUUGAACACACAUACCAACAGGUUCAAGAACAGCUUCUUCCUUGCUGUUAUUAGACUGCUGAAUGAACCUCUCUAAUUUAAAAAAAAAUUGAUCUUGCUAACAUUGGUCUUAGUGCAUCUCCUGUGCAGUUGUAACCUGUAUGGCUCACUCCACCUAAGCACCCUAUGAUCUGAAUGUUGUUAUUUUUUAUUAUCUGUGUGUACAGUUUGUAAAACAGAACUAUUCACUGUUUAAGGCACAUUUGAA